AUUAAAACCCCUUCUGGACUCCAACCCUCGAGAUAGAGAUCAGGAGUCAACACGAUAACCGAUUGAGCAACCCAGCAAGACAAUAACAUUUAAUAGUCAUGUCGCAGCAGUACUGUUCAAAGUACAGAUAGUUGUCCAUAUGGGCCUUACUACCAAAUCCUCAACUAGUCAAAUUUGCAGGUGGAACAAUUCAUUUUGGAAAUAGGUAGAGCCAAAAACGAUCCAAGAGUUACAAGAUGUGAUGAUAGCUGGCAAUCGAUCGAAACCGGUGGUGUAUGUGAAGGGAACAAAUGACGACCCCCUAUUACCAGAUGCUGUACCUGAGAGCCUUCAGAAAAUCUGUCCAACGGCUACAUUGUUUGCUACUAUUCCUCCAGUUGGCCCUCCAACUAUUCAGACAGAAGAGACACAGCAGCCUACAGUUGAUGAGACACCUGAAACACUGUACAGGAAGGACUUGGAAAAUGCAGCUGACAAUCACCUCUCCAGUGUGUGAUGGAGUUUGGCAGGAAUACUCUGUGACUGAAGACCAAGCGAGCUAUAUUGAAGGCAGUACAAGAGACCAUAAUGUGUGCCAGUAGAGGUUCGAACACAGGAAAGGUAGAGUCAGAGCCAGCACAGCUCAUGAUGUAUAUAUUCAGAGGGAAACCACUAAACCAGACAACUCAGUGAAAAGCAUUGUUGGAUACCAGUCGUAUGAUUUAAAGCUGUGCGACGUGGGCUCGACAAGGAAGACGUGGCAAGAAAACAGUACCAACGUGCUAUCAAAACAGUGCAUGUGGAUUUUCGUGUGCGAAAAUCUGGUCUCCUAAUAGAUACCAGGAAAUCAUUUUUGGAAGCCCCUUCAGAUGGGAUUAGAGAGUAUAUGUGUUGUGGAGAAGUGCCAAUGGAUAUAAAGUGUCAAUUUAUAAACACAAGGACAACACGAUCAGUGAGGCAGCCUUAUCUGACAAAACAUUUUGUUUAGAUGAUGAUUUGAAAUUUAAGCGUUCCCACAAAUAUUAUACACAUUACCAGAGUGAAUUUCUGUGAAUUUAUUGUGUAUACCAGUAAAAACAUAAUCAUGAACAUUAUUAUUUAAUCGAGAAUUUACAACCGUUGUAGUCUGCAAGUGUGGAAUAUUCUUUAUCCAAUAUGUUUUACCAGACCUAUUGACAAUGCGUCGUCGGAAACCCACGGUCGGUCGCUCUCCGAUUACCUACUGUGGUACACAACGCCAUGAUUAUUGCUGGUA